GGUACUCACUCCGAUCAUUACCUCCCCUCCCCGAUCCCAGCUAGGUACUCACUCCGAUCAUUACCUCCCUCCCCGAUCCCAGCUAGGUACUCACUCCGAUCAUUACCGCCCCUCCCCGAUCCCAGCUAGGUACUCACUCCGAUUAUUACCUCCCCUCCCCGAUCCCAGCUAGGUACUCACUCCGAUCAUUACCUCCCCUACCCCGAUCCCAGCUAGGUACUCACUCCGAUUAUUACCUCCCCUCCCUGAUCCCAGCUAGGUACUCACUCCGAUCAUUACCUCCCCUACCCCGAUCCCAGCUAGGUACUCACUCCGAUCAUUACCUCCCCUACCCCGAUCCCAGCUAGGUACUCACGUCGAUCAUUACCUCCCCUCCCCGAUCCCAGCUAGGUACUCACUCCGAUCAUUACCUCCCCUCCCCAAUCCCAGCUAGGUACUCACUCCGAUCAUUACCUCCCCUCCCCGAUCCCAGCUAGGUACUCACUCCGAUCAUUACCUCCCCUACCCGAUCCCAGCUAGGUACUCACUCCGAUCAUUACCUCCCCUCCCCGAUCCCAGCUAGGUACUCACUCCGAUCAUUACAACCCCUCCCCGAUCCCAGCUAGGUACUCACUCCGAUCAUUACCUCCCCUACCCCGAUCCCAGCUAGGUACUCACUCCGAUCAUUACCUCCCCUACCCGAUCCCAGCUAGGUACUCACUCCGAUCAUUACCUCCCCUCCCCGAUCCCAGCUAGGUACUCACGUCGAUCAUUACCUCCCCUCCCCGAUCCCAGCUAGGAACUCACUCCGAUCAUUACCUCCCCUACCCCGAUCUCAGCUAGGUACUCACUCCGAUCAUUACCUCCCCUCCCCGAUCCCAGCUAGGUACUCACUCCGAUCAUUACCUCCCUCCCCGAUCCCAGCUAGGUACUCACUCCGAUCAUUACCGCCCCUCCCCGAUCCCAGCUAGGUACUCACUCCGAUUAUUACCUCCCCUCCCCGAUCCCAGCUAGGUACUCACUCCGAUCAUUACCUCCCCUACCCCGAUCCCAGCUAGGUACUCACGUCGAUCAUUACCUCCCCUCCCCGAUCCCAGCUAGGUACACACUCCGAUCAUUACCUCCCCUACCCCGAUCCCAGCAAGGUACUCACUCCGAUCAUUACCUCCCCUACCCCGAUCCCAGCUAGGUACUCACUCCGAUCAUUACCUCCCCUACCCCGAUCCCAGCUAGGUACUCACUCCGAUCAUUACCUCCCCUCCCCGAUCCCAGCUAGGUACUCACUCCGAUCAUUACCUCCCCUCCCCGAUCCCAGCUAGGUACUCACUCCGAUCAUUACCUCCCCUACCCCGAUCCCAGCUAGGUACUCACUCCGAUCAUUACCUCCCCUACCCCGAUCCCAGCUAGGUACUCACUCCGAUCAUUACCUCCACUACCCCGAUCCCAGCUAGGUACUCACUCCGAUCAUUACCUCCACUACCCCGAUCCCAGCUAGGUACUCACUCCGAUCAUUACCUCCACUACCCCGAUCCCAGCUAGGUACUCACUCCGAUCAUUACCUCCCCUCCCCGAUCCCAGCUAGGUACUCACUCCGAU